rnacentral:misc_RNA from 1 species
GAUGAAGAACGUAGCGAAAUGCGAUAAGUAAUGUGAAUUGCAGAAUUCAGUGAAUCAUCGAAUCUUUGAACGCACAUUGCGCCCGCCAGUAUUCUGGCGGGCAUGCCUGUUCGAGCGUCAUUUCAACCAUCAAGCCCCCGGGCUUGUGUUGGGGUCCUGCGGCUGCCGCAGGCCCUGAAAAGCAGUGGCGGGCUCGCUGUCACACCGAGCGUAGUAGAUUUUAUCUCGCUCAGGGCGUGCUGCGGGUUCCGGCCGUUAAACCACCUUCAUAACCCAAGGUUGACCUCGGAUCAGGUAUGAAGACCCGCUGAACUUAAGCAUAUCAAUAAGCGGAGGA